CAAGCAGGCCGGGCGAUCGCAGGGGGCAACAGACGGCCGUAAGGCCGGCGGUGUCUCUUGAGGAAAGUCCGAGCUCCGCAGGGCAGGGUGCUGGGUAACGCCCAGUGGGGGCGACCCCAAGGAAAGUGCCACAGAAAUCAAACCGCCGCCCCUGUUUCCGAGGGUUUCGGCUCUCGGACGGGAGAGCGUCCAGGCCGGUAAAACGGCUUGCGGCGACGCGGUAAGGGUGAAACGGUGAGGUAAGAGCUCACCGGCGGGCGGGUAACUGUCCGGCCAGGUAAACCCCACCCGGAGCAAGACCAAAUAGGGGGAGGAUGACGCGGCCCGCCGACUUCCCGGGUAAGGUCGCUUGAGACGUACGGGCAACCGGCGUCCCAGAUAGAUGAUCGCUGCCCGCAAGGGUACAGAACUCGGCUUAUAGGCCCGCUUGCGUC
rnacentral:RNase_P_RNA from 1 species